rfam:Canis lupus familiaris chromosome 8, whole genome shotgun sequence.
ACCUGGCUGGCUCAGUCAGUAGGGCAUGGGACUCUUGAUCUCAGGGUUGUGAGUUUGAGCCCCACGGUGGGUG